rnacentral:rRNA from 1 species
UAGGGAAUCUUCCACAAUGGGCGAAAGCCUGAUGGAGCAACGCCGCGUGAGUGAUGAAGGCCUUUGGGUUGUAAAACUCUGUCUUCUGUGACGAACAAGCCUGUGAGUGGAAUGCUCAGGCCCUGACGGUAACAGAGGAGGAAGCCACGGCUAACUACGUGCCAGCAGCCGCGGUAAUACGUAGGUGGCAAGCGUUGUCCGGAAUCACUGGGCGUAAAGCGCGCGCAGGCGGCGAUCUACGUCUGGGGUGAAAGCCCGGGGCUCAACCUCGGGACUGCCUUGGAUACGGGAUCGCUUGAGAAUCGGAGAGGCAAGGGGAAUUCCACGUGUAGCGGUGAAAUGCGUAGAGAUGUGGAGGAACACCUGUGGCGAAGGCGCCUUGCUGGCCGAUUUCUGACGC